rnacentral:rRNA from 1 species
GACGAACGCUGGCGGCGUGCUUAACACAUGCAAGUCGAGCGGUAAGGCCCUUUCGGGGGUACACGAGCGGCGAACGGGUGAGUAACACGUGGGUGACCUGCCCUCAGCUCUGGGGAUAAAGCCCUGGGAAACCGGGUCUAAUACUGGAUAUGACUCCAUGACGCAUGUUGUGGGGUGGAAAGCCGUUGUGCGGCUGAGGAUGGGCCCGCGGCCUAUCCAGCUUGUUGGUGGGGUGANGGCCUACCAAGGCGACGACGGGUAGCCGGCCUGAGAGGCG